CAUAUGGUGACAUUUGAGACCUUCCAAACCUACUAUAUUAGCUGCUGUUUUCAACAAUGCAAUCUGACAAGUCUGGGUAUUUGCCCAUUCCUGUUUCUGUUAAAAGGUAUUUGUCAACCUUAAGUCUUUCUACAUAUAUGAGCUAAACCAAGACUUUUAAAAAAAGCAUUGUUUGCACAGUUGUGGAACCUGCUCUGAUUUUCUUCCAGGCAGGGUGAAGGGAGUAAGACUGAAAGAGGGGAGGUGGUGAACAGCAUAAAAGAGGAAGGAGACUAGGACAACCUCUAGUUCUUUGGCACCAACAGGUUGCUGACUGGUACUGGAGUCUGUGCAGUCCUUUUGGAUUUUGCUUGUGAUAUUGUCGUCUAUAAGGUCUUCUCUGGUGGAUUUCUAUACUUACUUUGUAAAUGGAUCUAAAAGAUACUUCUCACUAUCAAAUUCUAAUUAACAAUGCAAAUGGAUUUGGCAAAUCUACAUCUUACAUUCCUAAGGAAGAGAUAACAAUUACUAUGGGAUUAGAGCUUUUGUAACCACAGAGAUGUAAGGCACAUCACCUUCCGCCAGCUUCUGUUUGAUAGUUUAGGAGUUUGAAGAGGGAGCGUGUGGAGAAAAUGUCAGCAUCCUCAUCAGCCAUGACCAGGCAUUUCUAACACCUACAUGCUGCAGUGUGACUGUCUGACCACAAUCAGAGUUAAUGUCUCAAACAUCUGAUGGGGAACUUUGGCAAAGGAGACGGUCCCUAUGGAAAUGCCGGAAUCGUGCAGGUAACAGGGAGGUGCGGCGUUGGGAGGUGGGGGUGGGCCCGCACCUUUCCGAGCCUGGACUUCCUUCUCUUGAGCGACUCCAUGAAGAGCCAACGGAGAGGCCGUUUUUGUGAUGCACGUGCCAAGAGGAAGGGUCGGAUGGCAGUCAUGCCUGUGGGGGGAGGAGAGGAGCUGCUCCCCAGUGACCCCCAAGCCCACUGACCCAUUUCCAGAGAGCUCCGAGGGUGCAAACUGCCCACGCACCGGGGCCCGGAGGGUUCUAGAAGGAUGAACUGCGCAUGACACCUAAUUAGCCUAAUGAAUCCAAGUACCCACCUGGAGGAGGGGUGAAUGAUUAUAAAAGGACACGAAUCAAACCUGUGCAUGGUGCCCCUCGGGAAGUGGGCCUCAGGGGUGGUGGGGACAACACUGGAACCUGGACUGGUAAAGUAUCUCUCCACUCCUUCCCCAUUUUUUCCUCCUUCUUUUUUCUUCUCUCCCACUCUCCAUUUUCCACAUCUAUGGCUCAUUGGUACAUGUUCUAACAAUUAAGGCUUGUUGGUAUAUGUUGCAUGUUGUACGGUCUGUUGGUGUAUUUAUGGUUUGCUGGUAUAUGCUGUAAGUUUUGUCUCAGCCACUGUUUUCAUCAUAUUUGCAAAUUUUGGUCAGUAUUUGAGUUUUUGCCUAGCUGCUAUUCGUUAUGCCACUGUCGAAUUUCAAGUAAAAACUGGAUGUUUGAAGAAACCUUU